rnacentral:rRNA from 1 species
CGGGGAAUAUUGGACAAUGGGCGAAAGCCUGAUCCAGCAAUGCCGCGUGAGUGAUGAAGGCCUUAGGGUUGUAAAGCUCUUUUACCAGGGAUGAUAAUGACAGUACCUGGAGAAUAAGCUCCGGCUAACUCCGUG